rnacentral:rRNA from 1 species
GAUGAACGCUGCGGCGUGCCUCAUACAUGCAAGUCGAGCGAACGGACGAGAAGCUUGCUUCUCUGAUGUUAGCGGCGGACGGGUGAGUAACACGUGGAUAACCUACCUAUAAGACUGGGAUAACUUCGGGAAACCGGAGCUAAUACCGGAUGAUAUUUUGAACCGCAUGGUUCAAAAGUGAAAGACGGUCUUGCUGUCACUUAUAGAUGGAUCCGCGCUGCAUUAGCUAGUUGGUAAGGUAAUGGCUUACCAAGGCAACGAUGCAUAGCCGACCUGAGAGGGUGAUCGGCCACACUGGAACUGAGACACGGUCCAGACUCCUACGGGAGGCAGCAGUAGGGAAUCUUCCGCAAUGGGCGAAAGCCUGACGGAGCAACGCCGCGUGAGUGAUGAAGGUCUUCGGAUCGUAAAACUCUGUUAUUAGGGAAGAACAUAUGUGUAAGUAACUGUGCACAUCUUGACGGUACCUAAUCAGAAAGCCACGGCUAACUACGUG